rnacentral:rRNA from 1 species
UACGGAAGGCAGUAGUGGGGAAUAUUGCACAAUGGGCGCAAGCCUGAUGCAGCCAUGCCGCGUGUAUGAAGAAGGCCUUCGGGUUGUAAAGUACUUUCAGUCGUGAGGAAGGUGUUAAGGUUAAUAACCUUAGCAAUUGACGUUAGCGACAGAAGAAGCACCGGCUAACUCCGUGCCAGCAGCCGCGGUAAUACGGAGGGUGCGAGCGUUAAUCGGAAUUACUGGGCGUAAAGGGCACGCAGGCGGUUAAUUAAGUUGGAUGUGAAAUCCCCGGGCUUAACCUGGGAAUGGCAUUCAAGCUGGUUAGCUAGAGUCUUGUAGAGGGGGUAGAAUUCCAUGUGUAGCGGUGAAAUGCGUAGAGAUGUGGAGGAAUACCGGUGGCGAAGGCGGCCCCUGGACAAAGACUGACGCUCAUGUGCGAAAGCGUGGGGAGCAAAACAGGGAUUAGAUACC